rnacentral:rRNA from 1 species
UAGCGGCUGCACCACUGGGAUACCCUGGGUAUCCUAACCGUGCGAAGGUAGCGUAAUCACUUGUUCUUUAAAUGAGGACUAGUAUGAAUGGCAUCACGAGGGCUAUACUGUCUCCUUUUUCUAAUCAGUGAAACUAAUCUUCCCGUGAAGAAGCGGGAAUUCACCUAUAAGACGAGAAGACCCUAUGGAGCUUUAAAUUUUUCUUCAACUGCCCUACUCCUUCUAAAGUUUAUACUUUUCACAACAACUUCGGCAUUAUGAGGAUAAAUUUUAGGUUGGGGUGACCGCGGAGCAUAGUAAAACCUCCACAUUGAACCGAGCCAAUAAACUCUGAGCAAAGGACAACAACCCGAUGCACUAACAUAUUAACAUUCAUUGACCCAAUAAUUUUGAUCAACGAACCAAGUUACCCUAGGGAUAACAGCGCAAUCUGCUUCAAGAGUUCAUAUCGACAAGCAGGCUUACGACCUCGAUGUUGGAUCAGGGUAUCCCAGUGGUGCAGCCGCUACUAAUGGUUCGUUUGUUCAACGAUUAAAACCCUACUG